GGGGGUGUAGCUCAGAUGGGAGAGCGCCUGCCUUGCACGCAGGAGGCCGACGGUUCGAGUCCGUUCACCUCCACCA
rnacentral:tRNA from 1 species